AGAGUUUGAUCCUGGCUCAGGAUAAACGCUGGCGGCGUGCCUUACCAAUGCGAGUCGAACGAGGUCAGGCUUCGGUCUGAUCGAGUGGCGCCCGGGUGCGUGACACGUCGGUGACCUACCCCGCUGUGGGGAAUACCCUGCCGAAAGGUGGGCUAAUACCGCAUGCGAUCCCCGGUCGAACGGGGAUGAAAGCCCGCAAGGGCGCUGUGGGAUGGGCCGGCGGCCUAUCAGCUUGUUGGUGGGGUAAUGGCCUACCAAGGCGACGACGGGAGCCGAUCUGAGAGGAUGACCGGCACAGUGGACUGAGAUAUGGUCCACAGCCCUACGGGUUUAGCAUGGAGGAAUCUGCGCAACAUCCGAAAGGAUGGCGCAGCAACGCCGCGUGAGGGACGAAGCCG
rnacentral:rRNA from 1 species